rnacentral:rRNA from 1 species
GUGAGGAAUAUUGCACAAUGGGCGAAAGCCUGAUGCAGCAACGCCGCGUGAGUGAUGAAGGCCUUUGGGUCGUAAAACUCUGUCCUUGGGGAAGAAAAAAAUGACGGUACCCUUGGAGGAAGCCCCGGCUAACUACGUGCCAGCAGCCGCGGUAAUACGUAGGUGGCAAGCGUUAUCCGGAAUUAUUGGGCGUAAAGAGUGCGUAGGUGGUUUUGUAAGCGUAGGGUGAAAGGCAGUAGCUCAACUAUUGUUAGCCCUGCGAACUGUGAGACUUGAGUGCAGGAGAGGAAAGUGGAAUUCCUAGUGUAGCGGUGAAAUGCGUAGAUAUUAGGAGGAACACCAGUGGCGAAGGCGACUUUCUGGACUGUAACUGACACUGAGGCACGAAAGCGUGGGUAGCAAACAGGAUUAGAAACCCCAGUAGUCC